rnacentral:rRNA from 1 species
UACGUAGGGUGCAAGCGUUAAUCGGAAUUACUGGGCGUAAAGCGUGCGCAGGCGGUUUUGUAAGUCUGUCGUGAAAGCCCCGGGCUCAACCUGGGAAUUGCGAUGGAGACUGCAAGGCUUGAAUCUGGCAGAGGGGGGUAGAAUUCCACGUGUAGCAGUGAAAUGCGUAGAGAUGUGGGAGGAACACCGAUGGCGAAGGCAGCCCCCCUGGGUCAAGAUUGACGCUCAUGCACGAAAGCGUGGGGAGCAAACAGG